AACGCACAUUGCGCCCGCCAGUAUUCUGGCGGGCAUGCCUGUCCGAGCGUCAUUUCAACCCUCGAACCCCUCCGGGGGGUCGGCGUUGGGGAUCGGCCCUUUCACGGGGGCCGGCCCCGAAAUACAGUGGCGGUCUCGCCGCAGCCUCUCCUGCGCAGUAGUUUGCACACUCGCAUCGGGAGCGCGGCGCGUCCAAUGCCGUAAAACACCCAACUUUCUGAAAUGUUGACCUCGGAUCAGGUAGGAAUACCCGCUGAACUUAA
rnacentral:misc_RNA from 1 species